UACCUUCAAUUGCCAGCACGUUAUGGUGGGAACUUUGAAGGAACUGCCGGUGAUAAGCCGGAGGAAGGUGGGGAUGACGUCGAGUCCUCAUGGCCCUUACGUGUUGGGCUACACACGUGCUACAAUGGCAUCUACAACAGGAAGCAAAACGGCAACGUUAAGCAAAUCCCGAAAAGAUGCCUCAGUUCGGAUUGCACUCUGCAACUCGAGUGCAUGAAGCUGGAAUUACUAGUAAUCGUGGAUCAGCGUGCCANGGUGAAUGNGUUC
rnacentral:rRNA from 1 species